AAGUAAAUAUAACGAAAUAGACUCAUCAACGCAACAGGAAGCAUAAUGUAAGAGAUGAGUACGUGCGUGCUAAUUUGCAUAAUAGAAAGAAAAAACUUUUACGGAAACAAAGCCACAAGUGAAUUGGAAAGUACGUAAUAUUAUAACGGAUUUUUGUGCAAGGACUAGGGCCUGCUUCGCAAUAUCUGAGUAAACGCUAAUCAUCGAAUAUAAGACGACCAAAUUCAAGCUAACAAUUAAAUGGAGUAUAUUACGUAUACCUGAGUCGAUGGCUAGGUGAAUUACAUGCGCGGUACGACGCCACUCUGAGGUCCCGGAAUCGAAUCCC